CUCUCUUCUCUCUAGAGCCUCACACUUGCUGCCUCCUCUGCCUGGAACUCUCUCCCUCUGCUGUCACAGGGCUCCCUAAGUGUCGCUUCCUCCAAGAAGCCCUCCCUGACAAGUUGAGCCACUUUAGUUUGUGCUCAGGCUCACCCUUCAUGUCUUGGUUGCUCUCAUCACUGUAAUGAUCUAAAACAACCGUCUGCUCGUGAGACCCGCAUCCCACCCCCGAUGCUGGGGCCACUCUUGGAUUUUCAUGCCUGCUGCCAGCACCCAGGGGGAGCUCCGGAAAUGUCUGUUGGGGGCUCGGAAUACCUACCUUUCUUGUAAUGCAGCCCAGCGGGUCCCAGCCUCGUUUUCCAGCCCUCACUCAAAAUGGAGUCGCUCUGGUUCGAACGCCUCUGACAAGUGUGUACCUACGUGUCAGGCGCGUCCUUCCUGCAGGCCUUUGUCUUGGUGUCACCGUGCCUGAGCUGGCCCCAACCACAGUAGCAACAGUGAUGCUGAUGCGUGACUGCUGCCUGGAGCCUGCUCACAUGACCGUGUGGAGAAAGUUCUUUCCCCGAGGACCAUCUGGAGUGGACGCCUGCACUACCCCUCUCUGAAUACACCCUCCCCACGGGGCCCUCUGGAGCAUCCUGUAGAGCCAGCCCCUACCCAGAGACCCUGAGCCUAGAGAAUGCGCUGGGUGGUGAGCCUGGGGAUGAAUGCAGAGCCCUAGGUCUCCUCUCCAGAAAGACCAGGUUUUGCCAUGUUGGCCAGGCUGGUCUUGAACUCCUGACCUCAAGCGAUCCACCUGCCUCGGCCUCCCAAAGUGCAGGGAUUACAGGUGUGAGCCACCGCACCCGGCCUCAGGCAGGUAUUUUUACCAGUUGAAUACUCUUGCACUGUGCACUCUUCACAUUCAUCA
rnacentral:lncRNA from 1 species